rnacentral:rRNA from 1 species
AGUAUUUUGACUAUACAAAGGUAUUGAAAUAAGACUUUAAUUGAGUGCUAAGAGAAUGGAAUUUCAUAAAAUUUCUUUUUUAAUUUUAAAAAUUGAAAUUAAUUUUAUAUGUGAAGAAACAAUAAUAAAAAUUAAGGACAAGAAGACCCUAAGAAUUUUAAAGAUUUCAAUAAAAUUUUGUAUUCUAUUGAAAUCUUUUAAUUGGGGCGAUUAUUAAAUAUUAAAAACUUUAAUUUUUUUAAAAAAGAACCAAUAAUAUUGGUUAUUUGAAAAAAUACUCUAGGGAUAACAGCGUAAUAAUUUUUGAUAGUUCUUAUAGACAAAAUAGUUUGCGACCUCGAUGUUGGAUUAGGAUUCUUUUUUAAUGAAGAAGUUAAAAAAAGAAGUUUGUUCAACUUUUAAAAUCCU